GCUCCUGCAGCACCCACCCCACCAGCCGGCCAUUAGAUGUGUAUGUGUGUGUGUUUGGAUGGCCUGUUCUUGUUUGGACAACGGCGUUGGUGGGGGGUGGGAGCUGGAAGGGCACCCCGCACAGGGCUGCCCCUGCAACGUGAGCGGGAAGGUGCACAUGACACCACCUAUCACAGCUCACACCUUAACAGCCAAUGCAGCGAGGUAACCCCCCCCCUGCCCUCACAGGCUAGGGCAGCUCCCUCAUCUUUACAUGUACCCUCGCACAGAGAACAGUCAAGCUAUGAAGAACCCCGGCUGUAAAGUGCUCAAACCUACUGCUGCAGGUCAUCCAGAUGGUGCAGGAGAAGACUGCAAUCAAUCUGUGCUGUAAAAGAUGGAAGCUCAGAGGUCUCAUAUCAUGAGCCAACUUCCCAAUCAGACAAGAUCAUCCACAGCAUUGUGUGUUUCCUAGGGGGAAGACUUGUACUAUUUUAAAAUGUUUUUAGAGAGCACCAUAGCCAAUUUAAUAAGGGAUACCUGAAUCAAAAUCAGUACUUUUCUGUUCUGAACCGGAACAAGGUGAACUGAUGGCUCCCAGACUGGGCUCUGUCUCUGCCUCAAGUGCAGGAAUUCAAGCAUCAUGGUUCAUGAGGGAUCGAUGGAGCAGGAGGCCUCAGCCUUGGUUCGCAGAUAUGGAUCAUGACCGAAACAAGAUCCUGGUCGCAAGCAACUAAAACGAGGUUCCUUCAUCAGACGGCUCGGCACAGCCUUAGGGAUAGGGUUUAUCGUCUGAAUUCUCAUCUGCUCGAUGUGGAGAGGGAUUCUGAGUUGUACCUGAGCAGCGAGGUCCCUGUGGACACUGACGUGGUAGUCCAGCUCUGUGAAAACCUUCCUGAGGACCUCAUCGUCCACUUCACCUCCUUUCCUCUGGUCGAGGUCAGGAGCGGCGCGGGAGUCAAACGUCACAUUACUGAUGACCAAGGCAAAGCCUCGGGGCGAGGAGUUCAUUUUUAAACUGACUGGAAUGGGGUGGAGAGAGAGGGAAGACGUGCAGCAAAGGUCACUUGAACCGGGAGUCUAACCCGCAACAGCUGCAUCGAGGACUUAAGCCUCUGAAUGUGGGUCGUGUGUUUUACCCCUGUGCCAACGCAGCGCCUGCAAAUUCAUUCUUCUUCUACUGAUAAUGGCAUUUGCUGCAGUCUAACCACAGCUCAGCACAUUCUUCCUGAGUUGGAAGUGGGAAAGAAGACCUCACACUCCUCUGACAUGGAAAAAAAGGAUGCUCCACAUCUAUCAGAGGACCUGGCUGAGAAUGACGAGGUGUUGCUCACCUCCCUCCUUUCCUCCUUGCCUAAUAAGGACGUCUGCAACAGACCACUUUACUAAAGCUCAUCAUUCUUCAGCAUUCCUAUCAAUUGUAAGCUGGUAUGGAAAAGCUAACAAAGAUAGAAGAAUUUUGCACCUUAAAGUUUGUAUUAAGACUUGGUCUUAUAGGAAAUACCAUAUCUGCAAUC